rnacentral:rRNA from 1 species
GAUCAUGGCUCAGGACGAACGCUGGCGGCGCGCCUAACACAUGCAAGUCGAACGAGAGAGAAGGAGCUUGCUUCUUCGAUCGAGUGGCGAACGGGUGAGUAACGCGUGAGGAACCUGCCUCAAAGAGGGGGACAACAGUUGGAAACGACUGCUAAUACCGCAUAAGCCACCGGUCGGGCGAUCGACCUCNGGGAAAGGGAAAGGAGGAUCGCUCUGUAGAG